GUUUGCUAUAUUUUAGCUUGUCCACUUAUAAGAUCUAGACAUGGGGUUGAAACUAAACACAUUUGUUCUACAUUAGUCUGUGUAGUCUGCUUUUGUUUCAGGUGGGGUCCCAGUAUUUUGAUUGAAUCCAGUUAUGAACUUCGACCAUUUUUGCAAAAUGUUUAAUACAUGCAUGCCUUCUAGGAGAGACAGAGGGGGGAAAAUAGAGAGAGAGAGAAAAAUAACCCUAAAGAAAGAAGUUUUAAGCUGACACCCAUGUACGCUCUCAACAGGACUUGUUGUGCACUUGGAGCCCAGGAUCAGGAGCUCUGUAAUUGAAUUCACCUGAUCAGAAUUCCACCCCCUCGAGAGUGCGGGAGUCUCAUGUAUGGUUAGCAUAAUAAACAAGAAAAUCUGAGACAUGGGAAUGCGGGAACCACUUCUUCCAAGCAUACUGAAUCAAUUAAUAGCAUGUAGAAGGAAACCCUGAUUAUGUGAGCAGAGAGCUGGGCCAGCGAGAGAGGAGACUGGAUUCUGGGCAGAGGUGGUUAUUAUUAGUGAUGGAGAGAGUGUGUGUGUUCAUAUAGUGUGUUUUUUGGGUGUGCUUUGAUCCCGUCUCUCCCUCGCACAGCUGCAGCGGUUAAGCUGGGCCCUGGAGGAAUCCCACAUAGACACCGUUCACCUCUGCCAGGAGUGCACACCGCUGGUCAGCAACCUCAGUCACUUGAUCAAAGAGCACAAUUGUCUGCAGGCAUGCCGAAAUGCCUUGGAGGUGGCACUGAGGACCCUUAGAGCUCAGGAAGAUGAGAAGGAGGCCAAGCAGUCACGGUUAAAGGUAAAAGUAAUCUGUCACCAGCUCUGUCAGCACUGACUUCACUUCUAACAACGUUAAAUGGGGGGGGGGGGUCUGAUCUCUGUCUGAACUUUUAACUGUAUCUGGUACGGAUACAUUUUUUCUUU
ensembl:lncRNA